AGAUGGACCUCCUAGACCAGUUAGGUCUGGAUCAGACCAGAUAGAUGGACCUCCUAGACCAGUUAGGUCUGGAUCAGACCAGAUAGAUGGACCUCCUAGACCAGUUAGGUCUGGAUCAGACCAGAUAGAUGGACCUCCUAGACCAGUUAGGUCUGGAUCAGACCAGAUAGAUGGACCUCCUAGACCAGUUAGGUCUGGAUCAGACCAGAUAGAUGGACCUCCUAGACCAGUUAGGUCUGGAUCAGACCAGAUAGAUGGACCUCCUAGACCAGUUAGGUCUGAAUAGCACUUUUACUGUACCAAUGUAUUGUUGUUUUGAAGUUCCUUCUUUACUCAUUUAAUUUAAAUUCUUAAAUAUUUUUUUCCACGUCGUGAAGUUAGUGUGGUGUAAUGGUAUCCUAGAGUUAAUCGUGUGUGUUAGAGCU